rnacentral:rRNA from 1 species
UACGAAGGGGGCUAGCGUUGUUCGGAAUUACUGGGCGUAAAGCGUGCGCAGGCGGCUUCUCAAGUCAGGGGUGAAAGCCCAGAGCUCAACUCUGGAAUUGCCUUUGAUACUGAAGAUCUUGAGUUCGGGAGAGGUGAGUGGAACUGCGAGUGUAGAGGUGAAAUUCGUAGAUAUUCGCAAGAACACCAGUGGCGAAGGCGGCUCACUGGCCCGAUACUGACGCUGAUGCACGAAAGCGUGGGGAGCAAACAGG